rnacentral:rRNA from 1 species
UGGGCAGACGGGUGAGUAACGCGUAGGAAUCUACCCCAAGGAAGAGCAUAGCCCUCCGAAAGGAGGGGUAAUUCUCUAUAUCUCGUAAGAGGAAAGGACUUAACGGUCCGCCAUGGGAGGAGCCUGCGUCCUAUCAGCUUGUUGGUGAGGUAAUGGCUUACCAAGGCGAUGACGGGUAGCUGGACUGAGAGGUCGAACAGCCACAACUGCACUUAGACACGGGCAGU